ACGUUAGCGGCGGACGGGUGAGUAACACGUGGGUAACCUACCUAUAAGACUGGGAUAACUCGGGAAACCGGAGCUAAUACCGGAUAAUAUUUCGAACCGCAUGGUUCGAUAGUGAAAGAUGGUUUUGCUAUCACUUAUAGAUGGACCCGCGCCGUAUUAGCUAGUUGGUAAGGUAACGGCUUACCAAGGCGACGAUACGUAGCCGACCUGAGAGGGUGAUCGGCCACACUGGAACUGAGACACGGUCCAGACUCCUACGGGAGGCAGCAGUA
rnacentral:rRNA from 1 species